GAGCGUCGCGCUUCCCACCAGGUCUCCUGAUGGUGUUGCAUUACUAGCGUGGUGCAUGUGUCCCCUCUCCAGUGCUUAUGUAAAGAAAUGAAAGUAUUCAGGGAAAGCUGUGCUUUGUUGGAGGACCGCGUUGUGGAUUUGGCCACCUUGUCACUUGAAGUCGUGUUAGGGGUGCUUCAGCAGGAUGUGGCCGGAUGCCUUUCAUGAUGAUGCUGCACAGCAGCAACUGUUGCUCUUUCUGGAAGCUUUGUGGUACUACGGUGGGGGGGCUUUCCUUUGCUGUGCCGGCUCUGUACCUACUGACUGUUAUUUUGGGGGGCUGGACCAAAGGAAGACUUGUCAUUGAUAAAUGUACUGAGAAGAGCACAGGACUCCUUUAAGUCUCAAGGUGCUCUGGGCUUAGUUCUUCUGAGCAGGGAAACCAGAGGCUGGCGUUCUGUUUUCUCUUUUGUAAAAUGGAAAAAUACCUGCCAUUGCCACUUAACUAAGUCACUGAAAAGAUCAUGUGCAUGGAAGAUGUAAAACAGUAUGCCUCUUUAUAAGUAAGGUGGCAUUAUUACUUGAGCUGGUGGAAGGCAGCACGUUUCCCACAAUUGGUCUCAAAAGCCCGGGAUGCCUGCUGAGUUGCCAUUUAGUUUAUUACCUUAGCAAAGCAGAGUUGGGGGUGCGAUUGUCGAUAGUAGGCUUUGGGAGAAAUGAUUGUUAUAUUUCGUAAUAAAUGAUGUCCUUGAGAAACUCAUAAGUUGCAGUGUAAUCCUGUCUUAAUUGUGUUGAGCACGACUCCCACUGCAAUACCUUAAAUAACUGAAAACAUUUGCCUUUGAAAGCCCCAAUCGACUUGGACAAUAAAAACAGUUGCAUGUUUUGCUCUAGAGAUAUUUUCUGCCGUUUCCAUCAUUCCACUGCCUGGUUAUUCCUAGGGAGAAUAACAGAUAGGAUACUGGGGCUUCACCACUAUUUGAUCAGGUAUCAGUUUGAAAUAGAGAAUCUCUGCCUUAUGAAGAUAGUAAUUCCUGUAGUUAGCAUGAAAACAAAUUGCCAGUUUGAUUUUCUAGGACAGCUCAAGCAGAAUUUGUACCACUAGGCUGUAAGUUUUAAGUAUCUAAUUUUCUGAUUUGAAAGUGUAUGAUUUAAAAAUUGGAAAAAGUUUUUGUUAUAAGCUUCAAAAGGAUUUACUAUAAUUACAACUACG
rnacentral:lncRNA from 1 species